GCAGCCCUAGCCAGCCAGACCUGGGGAAAGUCCUGGUGCCUCUACUCCAAGCUGCUGACCUUGGGCAAGCUGCUUGCUCUGAGCCUCAGUUUUCUCAUCUUUGAAAUGGGCGUAAUGCAUGUCUGGCAGUUUGUCAUAGGCAGCAGAUGUAAUUAUCUCAGUGCCUGGAGCAUCACAGGAGCUCGGUAAUUGCACCACCUGGAAGCAGUCCAUUGGGCCACAAAGUGUUGGACACGCCUGAGCGACUAACACAGCAGAGGAAGCAAUAGGAGCGAAAAGUGGUUGCAAGGUGACUGCUUAUCCGGCCUCGCCGUGAGCCUCUGGGCAAGACCCUUCCCCUCCGUCUCCGGCGUGGGAGGGCCCGGCCUUGUGCCUUCCAGCCCCAGUCAUCUCCUUUCUACUUCACAAGUCACCACAGCCUUGGAAGCCUGCAUGAUGACCGAUUUGAUAUUUGUCUCAAAACAGAGGCACCCCUAUUUAAAAAUCACUCAUUUCUAAAUGAAAAUAUUUUUAAAUUGCUCAUUUGAACAAAAACUUUGUAACAACCGAAGAGCCAGUAUCAUUUGCCAUCAAUAGAAAAUAGCUGUGAACAAAACAAGGCGAUACACCACUACUCAGAUGCUGGCACUUCCUGAAGACUCUGGGCCUCGGGUCUGGAGUGAAGGGGUGGAAGAGAUGAGCAGAUGUCCUGGGAGGUGUUUAAAACACCCCAACACCUAGGUGAGACUUUACCAAGGUGAGACUCCCUCCCUGCAGAGUUGUAAGGGUUGGAAGAGACCUGGAGAGGGAACGCAAGCCUCUCUGGGUAAUUCAGUGUCAUUCAGUACCAAGUGUGUGGAGCCCCUCCGUGUUCUUGCAGACCACAGGUAAGAGCACAUCCACUUGCUCUGCUCUUGGGGAAAUGCUGGCCCCGAUCGCCUUGAGCACCAUUUCCAGUCGUAAACUCUUCACUGCUGUGAGUGUACCAGCUCCACAGAACAAGCAGAAGUGCCGGGCAUGACGCAUCCAUCCUCUCUACUCCCACCCCAGUGACACAGACCUCAGGACAUUCCUGGG
ensembl:lncRNA